AACGGCCGUACCAUGCUGAAUAUACCGGUUCUCGUUAGAUCACCGAAGUUAAGCAUCAUUGGGCGCGGUCAGUGAUUUUCAGUGGGUGACCACCUGGGAACACUGGGUGCCGUU